rnacentral:rRNA from 1 species
GACGAACGCUGGCGGCGUGCUUAACACAUGCAAGUCGAACGGAAAGGCCCUGCUUUUGUGGGGUGCUCGAGUGGCGAACGGGUGAGUAACCCGUGAGUAGCCUGCCCUUGGCUGUGGGAUAACUUCAGGAAACUGGGGCUAAUACAGGAUAGGAGCUACUGCUGCAGGGGGGGGGCUGGAAAGUUUCGGCGGAUGGGGAUGGACACGAGGCUUAUCAGCUUGUUGGUGGGGUAGGGGCUUAGCAAGGCGUUGACGGGUAGCCGGCCUGCCAGGGUGACCGGCCACAUUGGUACUGCGGUGCGGCCCAGACUCCUACGGGGGGCAGCAGUGGGGAAUAUUGCACAAUGGGCGGAAGCCUGAUGCAGCAACGCCGCGUCCGGGAUGACGGCCUUCGGGUUGUAGUCCGCUUUCGCCUGUGACGAAGCGUGAGUGACGGUAAUGGGUAAAGAAGCACCGGCUAACUACGUG